GAUGAACGCUGGCGGCGUGCCUAAUACAUGCAAGUCGAGCGAAUGGAUUGAGAGCUUGCUCUUAUGAAGUUAGCGGCGGACGGGUGAGUAACACGUGGGUAACCUGCCCAUAAGACUGGGAUAACUCCGGGAAACCGGGGCUAAUACCGGAUAACAUUUUGAACCGCAUGGUUCGAAAUUGAAAGGCGGCUUCGGCUGUCACUUAUGGAUGGACCCGCGUCGCAUUAGCUAGUUGGUGAGGUAACGGCUCACCAAGGCAACGAUGCGUAGCCGACCGGAGAGGGUGAUCGGCCCCACUGGGACUGAGACACGGCCCAGACUCCGACGGGAGGCAGCAGUAGGGAAUCUUCCGCAAUGGACGAAAGUCUGACGGAGCAACGCCGCGUGAGUGAUGAAGGCUUUCGGGUCGUAAAACUCUGUUGUUAGGGAAGAACAAGUGCUAGUUGAAUAAGCUGGCACCUUGACGGUACCUAACCAGAAAGCCACGGCUAACUACGUGCCAGCAGCCGCCGUAA
rnacentral:rRNA from 1 species